GAUGAACGCUGGCGGCGUGCCUAACACAUGCAAGUCGAGCGAGAUGUAUAUGGACGAAACUUCGGUCUAGGAAAUAUAUUGACAGCGGCGGACGGGUGAGUAACGCGUAGGCAACCUGCCCUUAACACAGGGAUAGCCUCGGGAAACCGGGAUUAAAACCUGAUAAUGCCAAAUAGUCACAUGGCUGUUUGGCCAAAGAUUUAUCGGUUAAGGAUGGGCCUGCGUCUGAUUAGUUUGUUGGUGGGGUAACGGCCUACCAAGACUAAGAUCAGUAGCCGACCUGGGAGGAUGAUCGGCAACAUUGGAACUGAGACACGGUCCAAACUCCUACGGGAGGCAGCAGUGGGGAAUAUUGCACAAUGGGCGAAAGCCUGAUGCAGCAACGCCGCGUGAGCGAUGAAGGCCUUUGGGUCGUAAAGCUCUGUCCUUGGGGAAGAAAAAAAUGACGGUACCCAAGGAGGAAGCCCCGGCUAACUACGUGCCAGCAGCCGCGGUAA
rnacentral:rRNA from 1 species